rnacentral:rRNA from 1 species
GUAGGGUGCGAGCGUUGUCCGGAUUUAUUGGGCGUAAAGGGCUCGUAGGUGGUUGAUCGCGUCGGAAGUGUAAUCUUGGGGCUUAACCCUGAGCGUGCUUUCGAUACGGGUUGACUUGAGGAAGGUAGGGGAGAAUGGAAUUCCUGGUGGAGCGGUGGAAUGCGCAGAUAUCAGGAGGAACACCAGUGGCGAAGGCGGUUCUCUGGGCCUUUCCUGACGCUGAGGAGCGAAAGCGUGGGGAGCGAACAGGCUUAGAUACCCUGGUAGUCCACGCUGUAAACGGUGGGUACUAGGUGUGGGGUCCAUUCCACGGGCUCCGUGCCGUAGCUAACGCUUUAAGUACCCCGCCUGGGGAGUACGGCCGCAAGGCUA